rnacentral:rRNA from 1 species
GACGUAGGGGCAAGCGUUGUCCGGAAUUAUUGGGCGUAAAGCGCGCGCAGGCGGCCUCUUAAGUCUGAUGUGAAAGCCCCCGGCUCAACCGGGGAGGCCAUUGGAAACUGGGAGGCUUGAGUAUAGGAGAGAAGAGUGGAAUUCCACGUGUAGCGGUGAAAUGCGCAGAUAUCGGGAAAGAACACCCGUGGCGAAGGCGGCUACUCGUGGGACGGUACUGGACGCUGAGACGCGAAAGCGUGGGAGCGAACGAG